rnacentral:rRNA from 1 species
UACGUAGGGUGCGAGCGUUAAUCGGAAUUACUGGGCGUAAAGCGUGCGCAGGCGGUUUUGUAAGCCGGAUGUGAAAUCCCCGGGCUUAACCUGGGAAUGGCAUUCGGGACUGCAAGGCUGGAGUGCGGCAGAGGAGACUGGAAUUCCUGGUGUAGCAGUGAAAUGCGUAGAUAUCAGGAGGAACACCGGUGGUGUAGACGGCUCACUGGACCGUAACUGACGCUGAGGCGCGAAAGCUAGGGGAGCAAACAGG